GGUGGUUCUUGAGUGACACACCCCGAAUCGGGCUUCCUCCUCUCUGGUUCCGGGUGCGUCACCUGAGAACCGCA
rfam:Myotis davidii contig139609, whole genome shotgun sequence.